UUGUGUAACACUAUUUCCCAAGCUCAUUUGGCCUUGAAACUCUGGGGGAAAAAACUGGUUUCUGGUUAGCAUCUGAUAGAACUGGUAUUAUUCAGACCACCCUUCAUUCAGUGUUUGACUAUUUUACCUUAAAAGAAAGAUGUGAAAUUUCAUUCAACAUGCACCAUAAUCUAGGUUUUCCUUCACAGUUAAACACUUGGAAGAAGAUUUUGCAAAGAAAAAUAUAAAAUGCUUGUUCGUGGGAAAUAUUUACUCCACCCAGGAAAAGAUAAAUGGCACUUAAGAAUGGCACUUAAGUGAGAUGUUUAUUGAAAUAAGGAAGGCUAAUUGUCAAAAAUGAUGAGAAACAAAUGUGGAAAGUCUUAUUUGGAACUUUGACCACAUGGAGUGUUUAAAGAAGCAUAUGCUGUGUUUCAGAGGAAUAGGCAAUUUCAGAAGUUACAAUUUUUUUUUUUGGAUUAAAAAAUUGUUCAUUGUAAAAGUGAAAAAAAAAAAGAAGAGAAGAAGAAGAACAUGGAUAUAUCAAGGAUUGAGGAACAAGAGAUACAAAUGUCAGUGUUGUCUUUUCUGAAAUGUUAGAGCUCCACUGUGAUGUUAUUUUAUUAUUAUGUCCAUUAACAUCAUAGAUUGGUCUUGCUGGAAAACUCUGCUAGAAGCCUUGGUGUAUGUGAGGUUCUAGAGACAGAAUAGAAUUCUCUGUGGUGCCUAAACAUGUGUCUUAAAAGAAUAUGUUU